rnacentral:rRNA from 1 species
UACAGAGGUCUCGAGCGUUGUUCGGAUUCAUUGGGCGUAAAGGGCGCGUAGGCGGCGGGGUAAGUCUGGUGUGAAAUCUCGGAGCUCAACUCCGAAAUUGCACUGGAUACUGCUCUGCUAGAGGGCUGGGGAGGAGAUCGGAAUUCACGGUGUAGCAGUGAAAUGCGUAGAUAUCGUGAGGAAGACCAGUGGCGAAGGCGGAUCUCUGGACAGCUCCUGACGCUGAGGCGCGAAGGCUAGGGGAGCAAACGGG